AAUGUAUAUCAUAUUUGUCUUUGUUUUUUAAAAUGUUUCCCUUUUGUUUAGUCUAUCAGAACAUUUUCCAGAUGAUCACAUGUUUCCAAACGCUUCAGCAGAAAAUCAAUAGCUAAGGGUAUCUUUUGAAACACUAAAGAAAAAUGUUACCUUGCUCUCAGACGCAGUGGCCUUCCAGACGGAAUUAAUUAAGGAAUUACUUAACCGACAACAGAAUAAUGGCAUUUCAGAAACUAGCACUUUUAGCUUUCCCUUAAAAACAGAAGAGGAUUUGUUCUUAAUAGACAGAGAUAUGGCGUUGGAUGCACAAGUCAUAUAUAUAAAUGAAAUGAAAAAUAUAUUUAGUCAGGCGACGCUAUCAAAAUCGUUGAAAAAGAAGAAGAACUGAAGAACUUGUUUUAGAAUGUUUAGAAAAAUGAAGACUGCAAAAACUGUAUGACCGAUUUGGAUGAUAAUAG